UAGAUACCCUAUUAUUUGAAAUGUAAUUUGUUUACUUAAGUAGUAAUAGUUAUGUUCUUGRAACUUAAAAAAUUUGGCGGUAUUUUAGUCUAUUCAGAGGAACCUGUCCUAUAAUCGAUAAUCCACGUUGGACCUUACUUAAAUUUGUUGUCAGUAUGUAUACCGUCGUUAUAAGAAUAUUUUAUAAGAAUAAUAAUUUUCUAGAUUUUUUAUAAAAAUUUAUAUCAGAUCAAGGUGCAGCUUAUAUUUAAGAAGAGAUGGGUUACAAUAAUAUUAUUUAUACGAAUUAAUUUUUGAAACAGAAUUAUGAAGGUGGAUUUGAAUGUAAAAUUAUAUAGAUUAAUAAUUUGAUUUUAGCU
rnacentral:rRNA from 1 species